CCUCGAUCCCCUUUCCUCCCCCCUCGCUAGGUUUCCUCCAGGCCGCCGCCGGUCCCUUGUGCGCAGCUCCUCGGCGCGGCUCCCUCCGGCGACAUGGCGCGCGGGUAGGGUCCCUCCUCCUCCGCUGCUCCUCCCGCUGGCGUGACCCGCCCCCGCCCCGGUCUCCAGCAGCAGCAACAGGCCCGGCCGGCACUGUACUCCGGCGGACGCUACCAAACUCCGGCCGGCCCUCACUGCGGACGGAUCCAUCAGCUCGUCUAGCAAGGCGGUCACGCGCAGCGGCACACCGGGGACGAUGAAGCCCGGCUCCCGCAAGCGCCGCGCCUCGUCGCCUGCGCCGUCGGCUCCCGUCACGCUGCCGCCGCCGGGCUUCGUGGCGGACAGGGAGGAGGCGGCGGCCCGCGUGGAGCGGCUCCUCCAGUACCAGUUCAACAAGCGCUCCCUGCUCGAGGAGGCGCUCACCCACCAGUCCUUCGCCGGCGGCGGCGCCGCCUCGUACCAGAGGCUCGAGUUCGUCGGGGACGCGGCGCUCGGCCUCGCCUUCUCCAACUUCCUCUACCUCACCAACCCCACCGUCGGCCCCGGCGCGCUCUCCACGCUCCGGGCCGCCAACAUCUCCACCGAGAAGCUGGCCCGCGUCGCCGUGCGCCACGACCUCUACCCGCUGCUCCGACGCAACUGCCCUCGUCUCGAUCUCUUGGUAGGACAGUUUAUCCAGUCAGUGAAACAAGAGUUACAGGAUGACCUUGGCACUACGCCCUAUGGUGGCACUGUAUUUAAGGCUCCCAAGGUGCUUGCUGAUAUUGUUGAGGCCAUUGCCGCUGCUGUCUAUGUGGAUUGCAACUUUAAUCUUGAGAAGCUCUGGAAGGUAACAAGGUUCCUCUUUGAGCCCAUUGUCACGGCAGAAACAAUAGAUGAGCAACCCGUGUCUACGUUGCAUGAGCUGUGCCAGAAACAUGGGAAAGAUAUAAAAUUCAAGACUUGGCAGAAGGGUGGAACAACGGUUGUAAAUGUAUUUGUUGGCGGGGCACUUGUUGGGAUGGGCUCCUCAGAGCAGAUGGUAAUUGCUAAGCUCAAUGCCACACGGGAUGCAUUAAGCAAGCUUCUUGGUGGAGGCAAUCAACAAGUGUUGACAAUUGGAGUUGGCCAUGGAUCAGAGGUUGAGGUUGGAGAGCUUAGGGAAUGCAAGCAGAAGCUUAUUGAGCAGUGCAGCAGGAAGCAUUGGCCAAAACCCAUCUUUAAGUUAGAGAAGGAAGAAGGCCCGGCACAUGAUAGGACAUUUGUUUACUCCGUUCAGGUAGAAACCCAAGGUGGUAUUUGGGUAACUUUAAGUGAUAAGAUGUCAAGGGUAAAGGAUGCGGAGAACUCUGGCGCGCAGAAGAUGUUGGAACAUCUAUUGAAAUUGGAUCCAUGCACUUGAAUUCUGACGCAUCCUGGUGGUGACUACUAGGAGUAGGAAGGAGAUCCUAGAAGCCUACAUCGUGGUGGUGACUCUUAGCAUGUAGGUGGGAGAUGAGCUCAAGAGAAUAGAAGGAAACGGUGGUGAAGGGAGAACCAAAGAGGUGAAUGAGGAUGAAAAAGAUGCACCGGAUUUUCUGCUGUGGGUUCAUCCUGUCCAUGCCGAUGAAAUCAUAUAGUUUAAAAAGCGCUGUUAUGAGAUUUUUGUCGCAAAAAAGAGCAUUGGGACAGAAGUUAGCCUUCCUAUUUAUCGGUGUAGCACUCCGAUGGUCAGAUGCAGUUUUAUACUCGUCAGUUUUUUUUAGCCAAACAGAUACUUUAAAGCCAUGUAUAUCGGUGUAGAAUCCAGUGUUAAGACUGAAAAUUUGUUUAUAAGCUUGAAAUAGCAUGUCCAUCUCGAUAGUAAUGACAUGGGCUUCUUUUACAUAAAUAUCACGUAGAAAGUUGUAAGGAUGAGAAAUAAAUUUCCACGUAAAUAAAAUAAAAUCAGAAAGUAACUAUGAAUAAAUUAGUUAAAUUAACAAACUAUACAUAUACUAUGAUUAGGAGAUGGUAUAAUAUUUGCCCACAACCAUAGGAUUGAUGGUUAUGAAAUUUAAAUAUAUUUUUUGGUGAGCUUAGAUCAAACGAACCUCAUCCUAACUCAUGUUUUCUUAUAUUGGUAUAGAUUUGCUUAGUCCGUUCAAGAAAUUCUCUGGUUUGUGGUUGUUGAACUGUGCUUUUUCAACAGUUGCUUUUAUAAACACUCUAGGAAAACCUUAGAAGAUGCAAUUUUCUUCUGUUAAACAAGCAGCGAAAUUGGCAACCCGAGUUAUCACAACCCGCUCAGGUCAUUUUCGAUUCAGUGAUUCACACAAUAACAAACAAAAUAUAGGCCUUCGUUCGCGGUCAAUGAACUAUGUCGUGACGAGCUAUGUUUAUGAUAUACGGAAAUUUAGCCACAUUUUAGGACAGUAAAACUGAGCAGCUUUCCAACCAUCUAACGCCCUGCGCGUUUCUGGACAUCCAUUUUCGUGACUUGGGCAACCUUGAAUGUUGUCUGUUGUCUACUCUGGCUUUCACCAUACAUUCUGAUUCCUGGGCCAAAAAGUCCUAGAGGGCUGCUUUUCCGGAGGAAAAUUUGAAGCCCUAUGGUAAACUAGGCUGAGAGAGAGAGGGAGAAAGGAGGGAGGGGGGGAGAGGAGGAGAAGGAGAGGGAGAGGGAGAGAGAUGGGGGUGGGGAGCGAGCUGACGCGGACGGUCUCUGCUAGAGAGAGGAGGUGAUGUAUCAAUCGGUCCCACGGUUUAGGGCAAGGAGAGCCUGCGCGGGAGAUGUAGGCCGACACCAUGGCUGUUUGGCUGAGCACAACUGCCCCGCUGGGAUUUGAAGAAGCCAUCAUCCUUCAGUUUCUCUGCAGGCAUUCAUGGCAGGUGAUGUGCCCAUCCUUCCGUUGACUCGUUACAGGUGAUGUUCAUACUGGUUGUGGUCAAUUUAUUUCGGCAGAUCUUGGAGGUCAACUGAUAAUUUCCGAUGGCCUCUGGACAGAAUAGUGGAGAGGGAGCAGGCUUUGGAAGCUUGUGUAUUUGUUGGGAUUAAGGUUUUGAUCAUCCAAGAGGUUGAGAAGCUGCUACCCUGCUCGCUGAUGUAAGCAAAGAAGUCUAUAAGAAUGUAAUUCAUGUAUAUAUUUGCACUAGUAACCUCUUGAACUAUGGAAUAUAAGAAUACAUGUCUCACGAAAUUUUGCAGAAUAGUGAUUUUUCACUGAGAUGGUAAAACAGGUAUGUUGUGACACCAUGCACAACAUACCAGUUUUACCAUCUCACAUGCAAAAAAAGCUCCUCCCCUCGAGCCGCUCCUGUGAGCGAUUUCGGGGGCAAACCCUAGUGGUCCCGGCUCAACCCUCCCCUCCCGGCCUCCUUUCCCCGCCACAAGGCGCUGCCGGGCAAAGCCCGGCCGGCAUACGUUGCGGCGGGGCGCUCUCCCCUCUCGGCACUUACGGUGCAGGACGUGGGUCGAACGGCGCGCGGGGGCGUCAGGCUGCUGUGUGGGGCUCGAUGGCGUGGUGGUGGGCGUGCGGAGCGGCCGUUCCUCUGCCUGGCGACGGGUGGCGGCAUUCCGGGGCUUCGUCGACGCGCGGUGGCGCGGGGGUCCCCACGGCCAGAUCUGGCGCCGGCGGCCUGUCGGCUGGCCGGGGCUGCGGACAGCAAGGUCAACACGGGGAAAAGGGUUAGUUUUGGUUAAUGUUUUGGAGGUGGUUUGUGUUUUGCUGGACUUCAAGAAAAGGGACAAUUUUGUUAAUUCUCAUGGCCGCGGGCAGGUGAAGACGGUGGUUCUUCCGGGCUAUCCGGCUUGUCGUCGACGGUGGGCAUGGUGGCAAUCUUGGUGAGUGGAGUCGAGUGGUGGCGAUGGCCCCCCUGCUUCCUCGUGCAUGUUCAGGCCGCAAGACGGCUGAUGAACAGGACUGUUCCAAAUCGACCAUUGGGGAGCUCUGCUGCGGCCAACCGUGAACUUGCUCUGCUGUAAUCUCUCUAGGACAGUAGAAGGCACACAGUUUGUUGAUUGUGGCUGCCAAGACCCCCUUAAUUAGUUAUCCUUGGGUGACAGUCAAUUGAUGGAGCCAUAGCCAGUCAGAUGAACAUCCUCGUCCUCACAACUCCGGGCGGUUGCUAUUUUGGCAGCGUGGACUCCGUGCAGAUGCGAUCGUCUUGCCUGCAAGAGGAGAGGACAUGUUUUCAUCUACAGUGGACUCACAGCCCAGUGCGCGUAUGACUCAUUACUAUGUUGUUCUUCCUGUGUGUAUGUAACAUCGAUCGUGUGGUUGGCUACUGGAAUUCAAUCAACAGCUGUGGUCAGCGUUAGCGAGAUCAGGGUGCCAGCAUGGCUACUUACAGUUUAAGAAGCUUUGUUCGCAAUGACAGUGAGAGGUUUCCAUUUUCUUCUUUUUGUUUCCCUGGCCGUUUCUACUUUUCUUGUGUUCUCCCCUCCUGCCAGCGUGACUCACGAAAAUGAGACGAGGCUUGGUAUUCGCUGGUUUACUGUCUGUUUGUAGUUUGGUUGUUGUUGUUCAGUUCAGUUUAAGAAGUUUUUGUCGCAA